AGGGCACAAAAAGGGUUGUUGUGUUAAAAGCUGAGAAGGAAGGGUUACCAAGUAUCUGGUUUUUGACCAGAACACGUGGUCGAAAAGGGACCCUGGAGGCUCUGGUGAGCACCGCCGACCGGGCUGUUAAAAGUCCAGUUGGCAGUGCUGCGACGCUGAGGCGGGCUAGUCCCUGCCUGUCCUGGCUGGCACCACACUGCACGCCAGAAGUGGCCAGCAGGUCCUGCGCCUAGGCGGGGGGUGGGAGGAGGAGGAGGGAAGAACCAUAGGGUUCCCGGUCAAUGGGAGUGGGCGGUGGGCAGUGCGUAGAGCCUCCUGGGCCCCCACCUAGGACCCAGACCUGCUGGCCGCUUCCGGGGUGCACACAGAGUGGUCCCAGGACAAGCAGGCUGCCUGCCUUAGCCUCCUGCUGCGCUGCUGAUCAGGAGCCACCCAAGAUGGGCCUGGACUGGAAGGGCACAGAUGAACCAAGAGUUCAUGAACCUCAGAGUUCAGGCCCAGCACUAAAAGAUGAAUCUGAACUGGAACACUGGAUCCAAUACCCCUUGAUCUUUGGAGA